rnacentral:rRNA from 1 species
UACAGAGGGUGCAAGCGUUGUUCGGAAUUAUUGGGCGUAAAGCGCGUGUAGGCGGGAUGGCAAGUCGGGUGUGAAAGCCCUCAGCUCAACUGAGGAAGUGCGCCCGAAACUACCGUUCUUGAGUGUCGGAGAGGGUGGCGGAAUUCCCCGGUGUAGAGGUGAAAUUCGUAGAUAUCGGGAGGAACACCAGUGGCGAAGGCGGCCACCUGGACGAACACUGACGCGAGACG